AGCGAACGCUGGCGGCAGGCUUAACACAUGCAAGUCGAGCGGGCAUCUUCGGAUGUCAGCGGCAGACGGGUGAGUAACACGUGGGAACGUACCCUUCGGUUCGGAAUAACGCUGGGAAACUAGCGCUAAUACCGGAUACGCCCUUUUGGGGAAAGGUUUACUGCCGAAGGAUCGGCCCGCGUCUGAUUAGCUAGUUGGUGGGGUAACGGCCUACCAAGGCGACGAUUAGUAGCUGGUCUGAGAGGAUGAUCAGCCACACUGGGACUGAGACACGGCCCAGACUCCUACGGGAGGCAGCAGUGGGGAAUAUUGGACAAUGGGCGCAAGCCUGAUCCAGCCAUGCCGCGUGAGUGAUGAAGGCCUUAGGGUUGUAAAGCUCUUUGUCCGGGACGAUAAUGACGUACCGGAAGAAUA
rnacentral:rRNA from 1 species